rnacentral:rRNA from 1 species
CAUCGGCAUCUAUACAUGCAGUCGAACGAACGGAGGAAGAGCUUGCUCUUCCAAAGUUAGUGGCGGACGGGUGAGUAACACGUGGGCAACCUGCCUGUAAGUUGGGGAUAACUCCGGGAAACCGGGGCUAAUACCGAAUGAUAGAGUGUGGCGCAUGCCACGCUCUUGAAAGAUGGUUUCGGCUAUCGCUUACAGAUGGGCCCGCGGUGCAUUAGCUAGUUGGUAGGGUAAUGGCCUACCAAGGCAACGAUGCAUAGCCGACCUGAGAGGGUGAUCGGCCACACUGGGACUGAGACACGGCCCAGACUCCUACGGGAGGCAGCAGUAGGGAAUCUUCCGCAAUGGACGAAAGUCUGACGGAGCAACGCCGCGUGUAUGAAGAAGGUUUUCGGAUCGUAAAGUACUGUUGUUAGAGAAGAACAAGGAUAAGAGUAACUGCUUGUCCCUUGACGGUAUCUAACCAGAAAGCCACGGCUAACUACGUGCCAGCAGCCGCGGUAAUACGUAGGUGGCAAGCGUUGUCCGGAUUUAUUGGGCGUAAAGCGCGCGCAGGCGGUCUUUUAAGUCUGAUGUGAAACCCCCCGGGUUAACCGG